rnacentral:rRNA from 1 species
UACGGGGGGGGCAAGCGUUGUUCGGAAUUACUGGGCGUAAAGGGCUCGUAGGUGGCCAACUAAGUCAGACGUGAAAUCCCUCAGCUUAACUGGGGAACUGCGUCUGAUACUGGAUGGCUUGAGUUUGGGAGAGGGAUGCGGAAUUCCAGGUGUAGCGGUGAAAUGCGUAGAUAUCAUGAGGAAGACCAGUGGCGAAGGCGGGUCUCUGGACAGUUCCUGACACUGAGACACGAAGGCCAGGGGAGCAAACGGG